ensembl:snRNA U1 U1 spliceosomal RNA
AUACUUACCUGGCAGGAGAGAUGCCAUGAUCACCAAGGUAGUUUUCCCAGGAUGAGGCUUCUCCAUUGCACUCUAGAUGUCUGACACUUGAGAUUUCCCCAAAUGUGGGGAAACUCAACUGCUUAACUUGUGGUAGUGGGGGACCUGCAUUCAUGAUCUCUCCUG